CACUAACUCUCUUUCUGAAUAUUGAAGCAAACAACCCUUGUUUCCAACUCCACAAAAAUCUCUCUAUUUUUCAACCACAAUAAACCAUUUCAUUUUCUUCUUCAUGCUCCCAUAACACACCAUAUGUUUUUUCUUCCAACCAUAUAUCAUACACUACAUAAACCAUUCACACCCACUCCAUACACAAAAAAUAAAAAAAAAUGUUAGAAACAUGAGCAACAACAACUUUCAUCAUCAUCACCUCCAUCUUUCAUUAUCAUCAUCUUCCAACACAACUAAACCAUAUUCAACCAUCAUCUUCUUUCUCCCUACUUACCAUCCAAAGAUCUUAUGGUAUUUCACUCUCUAAACUCCAACAAACAACCAACAAUCUUCAACAACAAAAAAACUCCAAACACCUAUUCGCAACUUCGACGGCCACCGGAAACGAAACUCAAUGACUGAGCAUCACUUCACCGCGUCAUUGGCCAAAUUCGACGCAACCACCACUACCGGCGAGUGUUGAGACGGUGAGCGGAGAGAGUUUGAUAUACUUAUUUUAUUCUUUUUAUUAUUAUUGUUGUUUUUGAAAUUGAAAAAAGUUAUUGAUUUUUUAUAAAAAAAAAAAUAGGUAGAAAAAGUGAAGAAAGAAUAUGUUGUUGUUAUUACUGAACGAUACAAGGGAAGGAGAAGAGGAAAAGAAUUUUGUUUUUUUUUAAAAAACCUCUUCAUGUCUGCCACGUGUCGCGUAGUGGGAGGUGUUUCUUUUUUUAUUUUAAAAUUUUAAUUUUUAUCUCUCUGCCAUAUUAAUCUCACCGUCUUUUUAUUUCUAUUUUAUUUAUUUAUUUUGUGUAUUUUAUUAUUAUUAUUAUUAUUAUUAUUAUUAUUAUUAUUAUUAUUAUUAUUAUUAUUAUUAUUAUUAUUAUUAUUAUUAUUAUUAUUAUUGUUGUUGAUUAUUAUUAACAGUAUUUAUUAUGAUUAUCGUUAUUAUUUUUGUUCAUUACUAUUAUUAUCAUCCUUAUUAUUAGUUGUAGUAUUAUAUUAUUAUUAUUAUUAUUUAUUGUUAUUAUUUGAUUAUUAUUAUUAUUAGUUAUCAUUAUUUAUUAUUGUUGUUAUAAUUUUUUAAUUAUUAAUUGUUAUGGUAACCACUAAUUAUUAAUUUAUUCAUUAUUGUUAAUUUUAUUGUUGAUUAUUGUUUGUAUCUAUUUACUA
rnacentral:lncRNA from 1 species